UGGUCAAGUUAUUAAGGGUGCAGGGCGGAUGCCUUGGCACUAGGAGCCGAUGAAGGACGUGAUAAGCUGCGAUAAGCUUCGGGGAGUUGCACGUAAACUUUGAUCCGAAGAUUUCCGAAUGAGGAAACUCACUUAGAGUAAUGUUAAGUAUCAUUAAGUGAAUACAUAGCUUAAUGAGGGGAACUCAGGGAACUGAAACAUCUAAGUACCUGAAGGAAGAGAAAGAAAUUCGAUUCCGUAAGUAGCGGCGAGCGAACGCGGAUUAGCCCAAACCAAUAAAGUUUUCUUUAUUGGGGUUGCGGACAUAUCAUAACGGAAGAGGUAUCGUAAUUGAAGAGGUUUGGAAAGACCCACCACAGAAGGUAAUAGUCCUGUAUGUUAAACGAGAAGACUUCAGAUAUGAUCCAGAGUACCACGGGACACGUGAAACCCUGUGGGAAGCAGGAGGGACCACCCUCCAAGGCUAAAUACUACCUAGUGACCGAUAGCGUAUAGUACCGUGAGGGAAAGGUGAAAAAGAACCCCGGGAGGGGAGUGAAAUAGAACCUGAAACCCUGCACUUACAAGCUGUGGAAGCACAUUUCUUGUGUGACCGCGUACUUUUGUUGUAGAACGGGCCAACGAGUUACGUUAAGUAGCAAGGUUAAGCACUUAAGGUGCGGAGCCGUAGCGAAAGCGAGUUUUAACUGAGCGUUCAGUUACUUGACGUAGACCCGAAACCGGGCGACCUACCCAUGAGCAGGAUGAAGCGAAAGUAAAAUUUCGUGGAGGUCCGAACCCACGAGCGUUGAAAAGCUCGGGAUGACUUGUGGGUAGCGGUGAAAUUCCAAUCGAGCCCGGAGAUAGCUGGUUUCUCCCCGAAAUAGCUUUAGGGCUAGCCUCAAGGUGAGAGAUACGGAGGUAGAGCACUGAAUGUCCUAGGGGGUAUUGCACCUACCGAAGACUAUAAACUCCGAAUGCCGUCAUCUUAUACUUGGGAUCAGACUGUGGGUGAUAAGAUUCAUAGUCGAAAGGGCAACAGCCCAGAUCGUCAGCUAAGGUCCCUAAAUGUAAGUUAAGUGGUAAAGGAUGUGGGAUUGCACAGACAACCAGGAUGUUGGCUUAGAAGCAGCCACUCAUUCAAAGAGUGCGUAAUAGCUCACUGGUCGAGUGAUCCUGCGCCGAAGAUUUCCGGGGCUAAAACUUACUACGAAGCUACGGCAUCAGUAAUGAUGGGUAGGGGAGCUUCCCAUACGGGUUGAAGCAUGACCGUAAGGACAUGUGGACAGUAUGGGAGUGAGAAUGUUGGCAUGAGUAGCGAGAUGUGGGUGAGAAUCCCACAGGCCGUAAACCCAAGGUUUCCAGGGGAAGGUUCGUCCGCCCUGGGUUAGUCGGGACCUAAGCUGAGGCCGAAAGGCGUAGGUGAUGGACAACAGGUUGAUAUUCCUGUACUACCGAUAACCGUUUGAGAGAAGGGAUGACACAGUAGGAUAAGCUAAGCACACUGUUGGUUAUGUGUGCCCAAGCAUUGAGGCAGUCAAAGUAGGCAAAUCCGCUUUGAUAAUGCUGGGAUGUGAUGGGGAGCGAAAUUUAGUAGCGAAGUAGCUGAUUUCACACUGUCAAGAAAAGUCUCUAUCGAGGUUAAAGGUACCCGUACCGCAAACCGACACAGGUGGGUGAGGAGAGUAUCCUAAGGCCAGCGAGAGAACUGUUGUUAAGGAACUCGGCAAAAUGACCCCGUAACUUAGGGAUAAGGGGUGCCACCAUCAGGUGGCCGCAGAGAAUAGGCCCAAGCGACUGUUUACCAAAAACAUAGGUUUCUGCUAAGUCGCAAGACGAUGUAUAGGAGCUGACGCCUGCCCGGUGCUGAAGGUUAAGGGAUCUGUUAGAGCAAUCGAAGCAGUGAACUUAAGCCCCAGUAAACGGCGGCCGUAACUAUAACGGUCCUAAGGUAGCGAAAUUCCUUGUCGGGUAAGUUCCGACCCGCACGAAAGGCGUAACGAUUUGGGCACUGUCUCAACAACAGACUCGGUGAAAUUGUAAUUCCGGUGAAGAUGCCGGAUACCUGCGACAGGACGGAAAGAACCCCAUGGAGCUUUACUGUAGCUUGACAUUGGGUCUUGGUACUACAUGUACAGGAUAGGUGGGAGGCUUUGAAACCAGGACGCCAGUUUUGGCGGAGCCAUCCUUGGGAUACCACCCUUGUAGUACUGGGACUCUAACCAUAGGCCAUGAAUCUGGUCUUGGGACACUGUCAGGCGGGCAGUUUGACUGGGGCGGUCGCCUCCCAAAAGGUAACGGAGGCGCUCAAAGGUUCUCUCAGUACGGUCGGAAAUCGUACGUAGAGUGUAAAGGCAAAAGAGAGCUUGAUUGCAAGACAUACAGGUCGAGCAAGGAUGAAAAUCGGACUUAGUGAUCCGGUGGUUCUGCGUGGAAGGGCCAUCGCUCAACGGAUAAAAGCUACCCUGGGGAUAACAGGCUUAUCUCCCCCAAGAGUCCACAUCGACGGGGAGGUUUGGCACCUCGAUGUCGGCUCAUCACAUCCUGGGGCUGUAGUAGGUCCCAAGGGUUGGGCUGUUCGCCCAUUAAAGUGGUACGCGAGCUGGGUUCAGAACGUCGUGAGACAGUUCGGUCCCUAUCCGUCGCAGGCGUAGGAAAUUUGAGAAGACCUGUCCUUAGUACGAGAGGACCGGGAUGGACGUACCUCUGGUGUACCAGUUGUCCUGCCAAGGGCAUGGCUGGGUAGCUAUGUACGGAAUGGAUAAGCGCUGAAAGCAUCUAAGCGCGAAGCCAACUUCAAGAUAAGAUUUCCCACCGCAAGGGUAAGACCCCAGAAAGACUAUCUGGUUGAUAGGUCGAAGGUGUAAGUGCAGCAAUGUAUUUAGCUUAUCGAUACUAAUAGGUCGAGGACUUGACCAAU
rnacentral:rRNA from 1 species